CGCGUAGAUAUCUGCCUAGUAGUGGGGGACAACAUGGGGAAACUCAUGCUAAUACCGCAUACGUCCUACGGGAGAAAGCGGGGGAUCUUCGGACCUCGCGCUAUUAGAUGAGUCUGCGUAAGAUUAGCUAGUUGGUGGGGUAAAGGCCUACCAAGGCGACGAUCUUUAGCUGGUCUGAGAGGGCGAUCAGCCACACUGGGACUGAGACACGGCCCAGACUCCUACGGGAGGCAGCAGUGGGGAAUAUUGGACAAUGGGCGCAAGCCUGAUCCAGCCAUGCCGCGUGUGUGAAGAAGGCUC
rnacentral:rRNA from 1 species